rnacentral:rRNA from 1 species
AUGAACGCUAGCUACAGGCUUAACACAUGCAAGUCGAGGGGCAGCAUGGUCUUAGCUUGCUAAGGCCGAUGGCGACCGGCGCACGGGUGAGUAACACGUAUCCAACCUGCCGUCUACUCUUGGACAGCCUUCUGAAAGGAAGAUUAAUACAAGAUGGCAUCAUGAGUCCACAUGUUCACAUGAUUAAAGGUAUUCCGGUAGACGAUGGGGAUGCGUUCCAUUAGAUAGUAGGCGGGGUAACGGCCCACCUAGUCUUCGAUGGAUAGGGGUUCUGAGAGGAAGGUCCCCCACAUUGGAACUGAGACACGGUCCAAACUCCUACGGGAGGCAGCAGUGAGGAAUAUUGGUCAAUGGGCGAGAGCCUGAACCAGCCAAGUAGCGUGAAGGAUGACUGCCCUAUGGGUUGUAAACUUCUUUUAUAAAGGAAUAAAGUCGGGUAUGGAUACCCGUUUGCAUGUACUUUAUGAAUAAGGAUCGGCUAACUCCGUGCCAGCAGCCGCGGUAAUACGGAGGAUGCGAGCGUUAUCCGGAUUUAUUGGGUUUAAAGGGAGCGUAGAUAGAUGUUUACGUCAGUUGUGAAAGUUUGCGGCUCAACCGUAAAAUUGCAGUUGAUACUGGAUAUCUUGAGUGCAGUUGAGGCAGGCGGAAUUCGUGGUGUAGCGGUGAAAUGCUUAGAUAUCACGAAGAACUCCGAUUGCGAAGGCAGCCUGCUAAGCUGCAACUGACAUUGAGGCUCGAAAGUGUGGGUAUCAAACAGGAUUAGAUACCCUGGUAGUCCACACGGUAAACGAUGAAUACUCGCUGUUUGCGAUAUACAGCAAGCGGCCAAGCGAAAGCGUUAAGUAUUCCACCUGGGGAGUACGCCGGCAACGGUGAAACUCAAAGGAAUUGACGGGGGCCCGCACAAGCAGUGGAUUAUGUGGUUUAAUUCGAAGCAACGCGAAGAACCUUACCAGGUCUUGACAUCCGAUGCAUAGCUUAGAGAUAAGUGAAAUUCCUUCGGGGACAUCGAGACAGGUGGUGCAUGGUUGUCGUCAGCUCGUGUCGUGAGAUGUUGGGUUAAGUCCCGCAACGAGCGCAACCCUUAUGGUCAGUUACUACGCAAGAGGACUCUGGCCAGACUGCCGUUGACAAAACGGAGGAAGGUGGGGAUGACGUCAAAUCAGCACGGCCCUUACGUCCGGGGCUACACACGUGUUACAAUGGGGGGUACAGAGGGCCGCUACCGCGCGAGUGGAUGCCAAUCCCCAAAACCUCUCUCAGUUCGGACUGGAGUCUGCAACCCGACUCCACGAAGCUGGAUUCGCUAGUAAUCGCGCAUCAGCCACGGCGCGGUGAAUACGUUCCCGGGCCUUGUACACACCGCCCGUCAAGCCAUGGGAGCCGGGGGUACCUGAAGUGCGUAACCGCGAGGAGCGCCCUAGGGUAAAACUGGUGACUGGGGCU